UGGGGAAUAUUGCACAAUGGGGGAAACCCUGAUGCAGCGACGCCGCGUGAACGAAGAAGGUAUUCGUAUCGUAAAGUUCUGUCCUAUGGGAAGAUAAUGACAGUACCAUAGAAGAAAGCUCCGGCUAAAUACGUGCCAGCAGCCGCGGUAAUACGUAAGGAGCGAGCGUUGUCCGGAAUUAUUGGGCGUAAAGGGUACGCAGGCGGUUUAAUAAGUCGAAUGUUAAAGAUCGGGGCUCAACCCCGCAAAGCAUUGGAAACUGAUAAACUUGAGUAGUGGAGAGGAAAGUGGAAUUCCUAGUGUAGUGGUGAAAUACGUAGAUAUUAGGAGGAAUACCAGUAGCGAAGGCGACUUUCUGGACACAAACUGACGCUGAGGUACGAAAGCGUGGGGAGCAAACAGG
rnacentral:rRNA from 1 species